UGACGUUUGAAAAAUUGGCACAUGUAAAAUGCCAGCACCAUAAUCUAUGGCCCCAAAAUGAUUUUAUCAUCUGUUUAUUAGCAACAGAAGUUCAGUGGUUGUGGAUGUCCCCUUUCACUUUCUAUACAGAAUUUUUAUAGGUUUUGAACUUGUAUACAUCAUCGAUAAUGCAAGACAUCCAGUUUCAAAACUUUUCCCAACAGAUUAACAAGUUCAAAGCAAACUUUACAGAAAGCACUUUAUGGAAAGUCUGGAACGCUUUUUGAAGGUCACUGAGGCGUACGCAAGGUCAUAUCUGCAGUGGACGAUGGAGUUCACAGUAAAAGCACGCUUCAUUCCAACCAUUCUCCCAUGAUCUACACUGCCACCUCGUAAAGUAGCGAUUCUUAAUCCCCCACCCUGACAGAAUACUAAUUGUUUUCCCAACAAGACGUGUUUUUACGUUUCACGUCCGGAGAUGUAAUAGCGAUAGCCAUUAUCUGCCCGCCUUUUAGUCGCAACUUGUCCAACUUUUCACAGUAAAAGCGACAGUAACGCACUACAUCCGAUGAUCGCACUAGCAAUAACGACACCCUGGAAACCGUACAUCACAAGGUAGACUUGCCAGCUCCUGGAAUACCAAGUAGGCUUUGAUAGAUCUGUGGAUGAUGUGUACACCCUGGCAGGCAAGUGGGGCAUGUAAUUGUCGGCAAUACAGGAUGUUGUCUUGGGUAUGCGCUGAAAACAGUCAAGCCCCACCACCAAACGCCACGUGCUAAUCCAGCUCUAAAUUCAAUUUUCUCUGGGCGGCAAUGGUUCAUAAACAUCGGUUUCAGACAUGAAUUUUCCUUCUUAGAACAUCCCCGGGGGAAUGCUCACUUUAUUGGUCUCAUCCUGCUACUUUUGGCGUGUAAGGUAAUGGUAGGAUUGAAAAUUGGGGAUUUCCAUCACACGGGGCAAUCUAUUAUCACAACCCCCCGACUGCUCAUAAAGUCACAAAAAGUAUGGGGCACGGUUUGUUUGGUGCAUAGCAAAUGUGGCGUUUCUCCUUUGUGACCAGAUUGUGAGCACGGAGCCCCAUUUGGACCAGGCCCGGUACUGGGGUGAUGAAUGGAGACUGUUGCAGACUUUGAGAGCUGGCACCCUCCCUCCCUCUCUCAAUAACACUCACCCAGUCACGUAACAAAGUGAGCAAUACAGUGGUGCAGCUCACAGUACUCUAUAUCCCAUCGGAGUGACUAACCCAUCCUCGGACCGUAUGAGUUACGAUCGCGUCAUCUUUUACUUCAGCGAAUCUGCAGUUCUGCACGCACCCUC